rnacentral:lncRNA from 1 species
CGCCGGCCUCUAGAUCGACUUCGUCUCAGAGUUCAGAGUAUGCAUAUCUUGUUGGAGAAUUCCUGAUGAAGCUCGCUAGCGAAGCCCAGGCGAUGUAUAUCAGCGGACCCUGCUUCACGCGAUCGUCCGCUGAAGUGUCCCUCGCUAGAACCCGCUUCGCGGUCACUUGCUCACAGCCACUCGCUCUCGCGGCCCUCUCUUCGCUCGCGGCCAGUCCUCCGCGGUCACUUGGUCGCGGCCAGUCGCUCUCGCCCAUUUCCUUGCGAGCGCUCGCUUCACCGCUGAUGUCCUCGCGACCAUCUGCUCGCGCCCCUCGCGGCCGCUUGCUUUCGCUCGCGGCCAGUUGCUCGCCCUUGGCGGUCGCUUGCUUAUGCGGUCAAUCGCUCGCGGCCAGUCGCUGAUGCGCCGCACUC